rnacentral:lncRNA from 13 species
AUGUUUACAUUGGUGAUAUGGAAACCUGACGUUGUUAUUGCUCUCACCUUCCCUUCUGGCUAUGUUACCGUUACCUCUCCAGUGUGCAGUGUAGCCUACAUGGUCUCCUUUAUUCCUGUGGUACAAUACCGUGGUUUCUCUCACGUCCACACAAACGCACGUGCAGUAGAACAAUCCUUGGCUGAGUUUUGUAUUUACAAUGCUGUUGUGUGGUGGUGGCUUAGGCUAUCUGAAAUGAAACCUUCCCUCCUCUCCUAGCAACAACAGCCUGUGUGUUUCACUGAUCUGUGAUACAGUACAACUCCCGCUGUGGGUACAAUGUCGUGGUCUUUCUCUCUCUCUCACAUGCACAGCCCAACAAUAUUCUUCCUAUGCCAGUCACUCUCCGUAUUCUGGUCCCAUAUCUGCUUGCGCUGUCUUGCAAAUUGAUGACAACGGCCAUAGGAAUUGUGAAGACAUAACAAACCGAUAUGGUACAAGGCUCUCUCUACCAGAGAGGCCAUGGCUCCUGCAUUAUCCCAACCAGAGGCAUCAAAGAGCAGUCCAAUUUAUUUAUAGCUUGUGAUUGGGAUUGUCAGAGACAUCCGCAUGGUUAUUUUCACCACAGUGUAAUUAUUGCCGAGUCGGAGUGGACUCUGGCUGGGGCUGAACUGAGGCCAGGGGCUGGGGAAACCAGCCUGGAAAACAGACGAAUGGGUCUGUAAGCCAUUAGUUAGUGGUGAGAGUUUUAGUGAACAGCUUCAUCAUGCAAUGGCGCAGUGACCUUUAGGGCGCUCAGAUGCGGGUGCCAAGAAGGUGUUGCCGAGGUGACGAGCGACCGCCAUGUUUAGACUUAAAGUGGGGGUUGAUUCAUUUGGAUCCAAUCAGUUGGAUUCCCGCUGCUUACUGCUUGCCUCAUCCCUUGAGACGACAAUCAGAUAGGCAAGCCGUUAUUUUGCUGUGUUCUACUUAGACUACACUUUGUCUAUGUUUAGUGGUGUUUGCAGUUCAGAUGUUGCAGCCAAGCAGGGCCCAUGUUGAGCUCUAGCUGUGUUUGAGCGAGAGAUAAGCCAGUGUUUGUCGACUGCUGGUAGAGCCUGCCAAGUUCCACAGGUCACUCCCUCAUCCCUGCCCAUGGUGAUGUGUGUGUGUGUGUGUGUGUGUGGGUGUGUGUGUAGUUUUUUGUCACUUUCCUUUUUUUAAAUUGCAUUACCUUUUGGAUUACAAAGCCUUGUGAUAUCAAUAUGUGCAGUGUGUUUUGGAGCGGUCCAUGGUAGUCUAACCCACUUUUAGUGUGUGUGUGUGUGUUUUCAUGGAGGUUCUGUCACUAUCCAACUUUAAUUUCAAUUUUUAACCUUUAUUUAACUAGGCAAGUCAGUUAAGAACAAAUUCUUAUUUUCAAUGACAGCCUAAGAACAGGAGGGUUAACUGCCUUGUUCAGGGGCAGAACGACAGAUUUUUACCUCGUCAGCUCGGGGAUUUGAUCUUGCGACCUUUCGGUUACUAGUCCAACGCUCUAACCACCUGCCGCCCCUAACCUGUGUUACUUUAUGUGUGUUCCACAGAGCCAGUCCCGGCCUACUCGUCGUGGCAACGGGAGAGCAUGGACAGCGAGGAGGCGUGCAUUUCGCCCCAAGUGGGGGGCCGCCUGAUUCGCCAGCUGAUUGAAGAGGACAGCGACCCCAUGCUGUCCCCCCGUUUCCACGCCUAUGGUCAUUGUCAGCAGUACAUAGAUGACACCGAGGUGCCACCCUCGCCGCCCAAUACACACUCCUUUGCCAGGUGAGGAACCAACAUGGAUUUACAGUACUGUUGAAUUUGGGGACGAGUAGUGUGUGUGUGUGUGUGUGUGUGUGUGUGUGUNNNNNNNNNNUCUACCAGAGAGGCCAUGGCUCCUGCAUUAUCCCAACCAGAGGCAUCAAAGAGCAGUCCAAUUUAUUUAUAGCUUGUGAUUGGGAUUGUCAGAGACAUCCGCAUGGUUAUUUUCACCACAGUGUAAUUAUUGCCGAGUCGGAGUGGACUCUGGCUGGGGCUGAACUGAGGCCAGGGGCUGGGGAAACCAGCCUGGAAAACAGACGAAUGGGUCUGUAAGCCAUUAGUUAGUGGUGAGAGUUUUAGUGAACAGCUUCAUCAUGCAAUGGCGCAGUGACCUUUAGGGCGCUCAGAUGCGGGUGCCAAGAAGGUGUUGCCGAGGUGACGAGCGACCGCCAUGUUUAGACUUAAAGUGGGGGUUGAUUCAUUUGGAUCCAAUCAGUUGGAUUCCCGCUGCUUACUGCUUGCCUCAUCCCUUGAGACGACAAUCAGAUAGGCAAGCCGUUAUUUUGCUGUGUUCUACUUAGACUACACUUUGUCUAUGUUUAGUGGUGUUUGCAGUUCAGAUGUUGCAGCCAAGCAGGGCCCAUGUUGAGCUCUAGCUGUGUUUGAGCGAGAGAUAAGCCAGUGUUUGUCGACUGCUGGUAGAGCCUGCCAAGUUCCACAGGUCACUCCCUCAUCCCUGCCCAUGGUGAUGUGUGUGUGUGUG